UUUUGACAACAGCAGAUUCAGCCGUACAGUUGCUUCCUGAAGCCACCAAGCCCAUUAGUGGAUGGAAGGGUCUGGAAUAUAAAGCAGCAUUUCCCAUGCUAAAACCACCUGGUGCCAAUUUUUAUCCUCCAGACAUGGAUAAAAAGGAAUUUGAAUUGUGGAAGGACACUCUGACAGAGAGUCGAAAACGUGACGCAACAGGUUUUUUUACUGUUAUCAGAAGGCACAGUGAAUUUGAUUUGGACUCUUCUCUGCCAAAUCAUACAGUUGAU
rnacentral:misc_RNA from 1 species